UCCUCCUUAGCUUAGUUGGUAGAGCGCGUCACUAGUAAUGACUCCGACUCACGUUCAGUCCUUCAAGUCGGCUAGAAGGAA
rnacentral:tRNA from 1 species